UCGCGAACAUGCUAAUAACUCAAUCAAAGGACACAAAUACCCUUGCCUCCUCUAUUCUUUAUUUUGUCUACAAAUACCCUUCCGCCCUCUUGCUUUCUAUCGGCUUUGUGGCUUCGGUUUCUCUUCCGAAGGGACAAGCAGCAACCACUCCGAUUCCCAAAUCAUACUCUGAAUCGCUUCUUGAACCUUCUCAACAUGGAACGCAUCGUUGGCCGCAAGUACAAGCUCGGCCGCAAGAUCGGAAGUGGAUCCUUCGGCGAAAUCUACCUCGCGACGCAUAUUGACACCUUCGAGAUCGUCGCCGUCAAGAUCGAGAAUAGAAAAACGAAGCAUCCGCAACUUCUUUACGAGGCAAAGCUCUACAAUAUUCUUCAAGGAGGAAGUGGAAUUCCGAACAUAAAAUGGUCUGGCAUAGACGGGGAGGAAAAUGUGCUUGUUCUUGACUUGCUUGGGCCGAGUCUUGAAGAUCUUUUUGUGUAUUGUGGAAGGAAGUUUUCAUUGAAGACAGUGUUAAUGUUGGCUGAUCAAAUGAUCACUAGGAUAGAAUAUGUGCAUUCUAAAGGAUUUCUGCAUAGGGAUAUUAAACCCGAUAACUUUCUCAUGGGACUUGGUCGGAAGGCCAACCAGGUUUACAUAAUUGAUUUUGGGCUUGCAAAACGAUACCGGGAAUCGGGUACCAAUCGCCACAUCCCUUACAGGGAGAACAAAAACUUAACCGGCACAGCCCGAUAUGCAAGUUGUAAUACUCAUCUUGGGAUUGAGCAAAGUCGGCGGGAUGAUUUGGAAUCUCUAGGAUAUGUACUUUUGUAUUACCUCAGAGGAAGCCUUCCUUGGCAAGGUCUAAAGGCUGCUACGAAGAAACAAAAGUAUGAUAAAAUAUGUCAGAAGAAAGUUUCAACUCCUAUUGAGGUACUUUGCAAAACUCAUCCCGUAGAGUUUGCUUCGUACUUCCAUUACUGCCACUCUUUGACAUUUGAUCAGCGACCUGAUUAUGGAUUCUUAAAGCGCCUAUUUCGGGACCUAUUUGCUCGAGAAGGCUAUGAAUUUGAUUACGUUUUUGAUUGGACCAUUUUAAAGUAUCAGCAAUCUCAAAAGAGUGCAGUGCUCCCUCCACUAUCUCCAGUUCCAGGAGCAAGUAACAGUCGAGCAAUUCCAAUGAAUAUUGACCACCAUCAAGGGCAUGUUAUGGAGCGGAACAGAGCAGGCGAUGCUGCCGGUUCUGGUGUUAAAAUCCAGUUUAAAUCACCAGGGGGUAAAAAUGUGAGCUAUGAGAAUCCACUUGACAAAAAUAUUUAUGGAGAAGCAAAUAUACCCGCUGCUUCAUACUCUCCUGCUAGUACUUCUAUAAGGAACUCCUUGAAGCUAUCUUUGUCUGCUGAAGCUUCCAACCCUGGACACGGGCAAGGCAGUAAAAUUGGCCCUUCAAGUAGCUGGAUGUCAUCUCUGCAGCACACGUCUUCUGCUAAAUGAAUGCCAAAUAUGUAUGAAGCUUUAAAGAAGAUUCUAUACAUAUUUUCUCAAGUGUUUGGUCAACAAUAUUGAAGUGCAUUCGUGGAGACUGCAGAUGUGCUAGAAAAUCGACAGAUUGCGUAGCUCCUAUUUUGAGGCCAUUUAGUUUGCUUCUUUCCUGAGGUUAUCGAAAGUGUAAGUUAUUCUGAUACUGAAGCAAGCAUUAUGGCUGAAGGAUCACUGAAAUAAUGAUCUCUUUUGGGUUAGCAAAGGUCUUCUUUUUCCAAUCAAUAUUGUCUGAAGGAUGAAAUUUGGCAGACUCCAUGAUGCUGCUACUUCUGAUAAAUAAUUCAGCAUAACCACACGCAGAAACUAGGAGACAAGACUACCUAGUACUGGUGCUUCAAUUUAAGACUCUUGAAUCGUCUUGCUGGCCCAAUUGGUAAUCAAAUUUUUGAAUUACAGCUACAACUGUAUUUGUUCUAUUUAUUGUUGAACUCGUGAAAAAUGUCAUCUACCAGUAAAGUUUGCAUAGCUUGUGGUGCUGAUAUGGGUUUUUUUGUCUAGCAGUUUGCUAACUUCAAUUCAAAGCUCCCAAGACACCAUAUUCUUGUAUAUAUGAUACAAGUUAUUAUAUGAUCCUCUGGUGUUCUGAAACUUGUGGAAAGGUUUGUUUGGUGGGCUUUGAUUGUGAUCAAGUUUAAAAGAGGGAAGAUUUGCAUUGAAUUUCCAUUGCUUUAGGACUAGGAGAGCUUGGUAACUUGCUUGAAACUAGAGUUGCUUGUAAUUUGAAUGUUGGUUGGUGAAGGUCUAUUGAGGAACAUACAUAUCUUUUUUCUUUGAUCCUAUCCGUCAUUUCUGUAAGGUGCCAAAUUAAUUUUUUUAAUCAAUGGACAUAACCUAUUUCCAUUAUUUUUGGUACUUGUGUGUACGAAUCUCCCAACAAAAAUCUCUGCAAAGGGGCCAUGUAUCUGAAGGAACAGCUAAUUUUCAUAGCCUAAACAAGAUUUGGUUUCAAUUGAACUGUAUUCCAUUCUUAACUAGAUGACACUUGGAACUUCUAUGACCCCUCUCCCCCUUUGUUCUAGUUCAGUCUAAAUGCUUCUUUCUGUUCCUGAAUAAUUUGUGUUCCUUGAUUUAGCCAUAGACCAACUGUGUCAGAUAAAGUGCAUUCAUGUGGUGAAUGGAAACUAUGAACUUGCAGAUUUCAUAUGCAAGCUUAAUCUCUAUAUUAAAUCUUCGUAAUUCAAGAUCUCCAUCUUGUGGUACAAGCAACGAACAAAAUUAUGUUGAAAUAUAAAAUAAUAUUUUGCAGGGAUUGUGAAGAUUAUUCCCAGGCACCAUCCAUUUCCGUGAGGUUGGUGUUCCAGACGUACGUGGCCAAGCUUAUAUUGUUUGAUAUGUUCUUUUAAAAUUCUGAUGUAUCAAGUACUUCCCAGGUUGAGUAAAUGGAAAUUGUGAACACAGGGAAGCAGCACCCUGACGUGCACUCAGAAUUUGAUGAGUCGAUUGCAUUGCUGGAAUGCUAUCAAAGUACCAGUAGCAUUUACCUUGAGUAAAGUUACCUAUGUAUGCGACUGUAGGCAAAUGUAUUCAAAUGAUUAUAAUGUAGUUUUAUAAUCCGAAAUGUAUGCUUAAAAGAUUUGUGCUGUGUAUAUGAUAAAGCAUUUUUCGGCCCCUCUUAAUAUUUCAUUCGUACCAAUGAAUAUGAUCUUAAAAGUCCGAAAUUACGGAGUUGAGAUGUGGUACGAUUAUAUAGGGGCUUUUGGUUUGAAAUAUUUUAUGGCAAAAAUAUCCCCUGCGCCAUUACGCA